rnacentral:hammerhead_ribozyme from 1 species
GUUCAGUUGAAGAGUCCCAAAUAGGACGAAACGCGCGUCUAAACUAGAU